GCUAGCUUGGUGUAGUGGUUUGAGUGUUGGACUACAACUCCAGAGAACAGGGUUCGAAUCCCAGAUCGGUCA
rnacentral:tRNA from 1 species